GUGGUUGUAGCUCAGCUGGUUAGAGCAUUGGAUUGUGGUUCCAAGGGUCGGGGGUUCGAGUCCCCUCAGCCACCCCA
rnacentral:tRNA from 1 species